AAAGAGGGGCUUGCGUCACAUUAGUUAGUUGGCAGGGGAAACGACUGCUAAGACUGGGAUGUGUAGCUGGACUGAGAGGUUGAACAGCCACAUUGGGACUGAGACACGGCCCAAACUCCUACGGGAGGCAGCAGUAGGGAAUUUUCGGCAAUGGAGGAAACUCUGACCGAGCAACGCCGCGUGAACGAUGAAGUAUUUCGGUAUGUAAAGUUCUUUUAUUGAAGAAGAAAAAAUAGUGGAAAAACUAUCUUGACGAUAUUCAAUGAAUAAGCCCCGGCAAACUAUGUGCCAGCAGCCGCGGUAAUACAUAGGGGGCGAGCGUUAUCCGGAAUUAUUGGGCGUAAAGGGUGCGUAGGCGGUUUAAUAAGUCUAUAGUUUAAUUUCAGUGCUUAACACUGUCCUGCUAUAGAAACUAUUAGACUAGAGUGAGAUAGAGGCAAGUGGAAUCCCAUGUGUAGCGGUAAAAUGCGUAAAUAUAUGGAGGAACACCAGAGGCGUAGGCGGCUUGCUGGGUCUUUACUGACGCUGAGGCACGAAAGCGUGGGGAGCAAACAGGAUUAGAUACCCUGGUAGUCCACGCCGUAAACGAUGAGUACUAAGUGUCGGGAUUACUCGGUACUGAAGUUAACACAUUAAGUACUCCGCCUGAGUAGUACGUACGCAAGUAUGAAACUUAAAGAAUUGACGGGACUCCGCACAAGCGGUGGAUCAUGUUGUUUAAUUCGAAGAUACACGAAAAACCUUACCAGGUCUUGACAUACUCUGCAAAGCUAUAGCAAUAUAGUGGAGGUUAUCAGGGAUACAGGUGGUGCAUGGUUGUCGUCAGCUCGUGUCGUGAGAUGUUAGGUUAAGUCCUAAAACGAGCGCAACCCUUGUCAUUAGUUGCCAGCAUGUCAUGAUGGGCACUUUAAUGAGACUGCCAAUGAAAAAUUGGAGGAAGGUGAGGAUCACGUCAAAUCAUCAUGCCCCUUAUGAUCUGGGCUACAAACGUGAUACAAUGGCUGUUACAAAGAGUAGCUGAAACGUAAGUUUAUAGCCAAUCUCAUAAAAGCAGUCUCAGUUCGGAUUGAAGUCUGCAACUCGACUUCAUGAAGUUGGAAUCGCUAGUAAUCGCGAAUCAGCAUGUCGCGGUGAAUACGUUCUCGGGGUUUGUACACACCGCCCGUCAAACCACGAAAGUUGGUAAUACUCAAAAACGGUAGCCUAACUUCUUCGGAAGAGGGAACCGUCUAAGGUAGGAUCGAUGAUUGG
rnacentral:rRNA from 1 species